GUCCACGCCGUAAACUAUGGGUGCUAGCCGUCGGUCGGCAUGCCGGUCGGUGGCGCAGCAAACGCAUUAAGCACCCCGCCUGGGGAGUACGGUCGCAAGAUUAAAACUCAAAGGAAUUGACGGGGGCCCCGCACAAGCGGUGGAGCAUGUGGUUUAAUUCGAGGCAACGCGAAGAACCUUACCAGCCCUUGACUUCCCGAUCGGGGCUCCGGAGACGGAGCUUUUCAAUUGGUCGGUGACAGGUGCUGCAUGGCUGUCGU
rnacentral:rRNA from 1 species